rnacentral:tRNA from 1 species
CGGCCCGUAGCAGAGUGCUACAUGCACCGGACUGCAAAUCCGGGGACGAGGGUUGGAAUCCCUCCGGGCCGUCCA